rnacentral:rRNA from 1 species
UACGUAGGGUGCGAGCGUUGUCCGGAAUUAUUGGGCGUAAAGGGCUCGUAGGCGGUCUGUCGCGUCGGGAGUGAAAACUCAGGGCUUAACCCUGAGCCUGCUUCCGAUACGGGCAGACUAGAGGUAUGCAGGGGAGAACGGAAUUCCUGGUGUAGCGGUGAAAUGCGCAGAUAUCAGGAGGAACACCGGUGGCGAAGGCGGUUCUCUGGACAGUUCCUGACGCUGAGGCGCGAAGGCCAGGGGAGCAAACGGG